CAGACUGAAACGGUUUAUUUUUCUGUGUUAUAUGCUCUUCCAGUUACACGUGGAAUUUCAUAUGACUCGAUCUGUGCACAUUAUUUCUUGUCCUGUCAUGUGGCAGUCUAUCCAGGGACUUAUCAGGCAGAAAACAGAGGAUGAAGACGCUGUCUUCAUGAGCUGUGAAAAAUCAGAUGAUACCUAUCAGCACACAGGAGAUCAGCAUCUCUUCUGUAAGUCAGCAGUCGAAUAUAAGAAAUACCAGUAUUUACCACUGACAAAAACAAUGCUAAGUGCGUGACCACUAUGUUACAUUUCUACUGUGUUGAUAGCAAAGCUAAAGUUCUAGGUUAAAGUAAAAGUUUGCAAGAAACAGGGAAUUUAAAACUUGCUGAGGGUGCACUCAAUCUCACUGUACAUCACCAACAAAGAUGCUAAACAGCUCUGGUCCCAGUAUAGGCCUCUGAAGAGCAGCACUCAUUACUGAUCUCCUCUUGGAUGUUAAGCCAUUGACUGCAACUCUUAAGUGAGAACAUCCAGUCAAUUCCUUACACACCGAGUUGUCCAUCUGUCAAAUCCACGUUUCUUCAAUUUAGAGAGAAGGAUAUCGCGGGGGACAGUGUCAGAUGCUUUGUGCAAGUCCAGGUAGAUGAUGUCAGUUGUUCUUCUGUUGUCUGCCACUGUUGUAAUCCUGUCAUAGAAGGCCACCAGAUUUGUCAGGCAUAAUCUGCCUUUAGUGAAGAUCACAGAACCUCAGCCAUUGUGUGAUUCUGUGAUGUGCACCAGCACCAUCUGUAAUGGUAUAUGUCUUAUAUCUGCAUUUAGGUGUCAGAAACACAGUUUUGUGGCAAGCAUGAUAACAGCAGUACCCAGUGGUAAAAGUGCUAGUGGCUCUGUCCUGCUGUUGU
rnacentral:lncRNA from 1 species